UGUAAGUGUACCGGUGACCGGAGCCAUC
rnacentral:sRNA from 1 species